AGAUAAAGAAUCAAAAUAGUCCCCAAAAGUAGAGGACCUUCUGUCUGUGCCUGAUAAUUGAGGAUUUGAUCUCGGGAGAACAGGAACAAGAUUCUUGAGGAUCAGCAGGUCUGGCAGCAAUUCCCUUCUGGCCCCUACUGUGCCGCUCUGGGUGUCUGUUUCUGAAGUUGCUGCACGCAGACAACUUUUCUUCAUGCCAACGUCUGUACCAAUAUGCAAUGGCUGAAAAAGGCAUCUGGACAUUUUAGAAAUUAAGGGCUGUUUUCCUUGGAGGCUGAAGUUCCUUUUGAACAGAACAAAUGCGCUUUCCGUUAAAACAACAUUUCAGGGCAUGAAGGACAGAGGCCAUAACAGGGACCCGAAGCAGUGCCGCGUGAAACUGAAGGAGCUGAGGCAAGCCUACCAGAAAACCAGAGAGGCGAACAGCCGCUCCGGGUCAGAGCCCCAAACAUGCCGCUUCUAUGAUGAGCUGCAUGCCAUUUUAGGGGGUUCAGCCACCACUACCCCAGCCGUGUUGUUUGACUCCUUCAAUGGAGAUGGAGUCAAUACGGAAGCAGGUUUUGGGGACGAAGAAGAUGAUGAUGAGGAGGAGGUUGUAGAUAGCUCACAGCAAGCAAGCGGAGAAACCGGUUUUCCCGACAGCUAGGAACUGUUUCUCACCCUGGACCUGGAGCCAGUACCCCCCGAACCCACCCAAGGCUGCCUCCUGGACCCAGCAGGCGGAGAAGGGACCUCUGCUGCAUGUGUUUCAAUGAUCACAGGAUCUUCUCCUUCCCAGAGGCUAGUGAAGCUUAGAAAGAAAAAAAAAACGCACUCGCGAUGAAAUGUUCUCCGAGCUCAUGCUGUCCUCCCACACUGACAGAGCACAGACGAAUGCGUGGAGGCAAAUAAUGUCAGAGUGCAGGAAAGCACAAAAUGACCGGGAGGAGAGGUGGCGGGCUGAAGACAGGGCUGAAGCUCAAAUGUGGCGGCAGCGUGAUGAGAGGAGGCAGGAUUCAAUGCUGAGGCUGCUGCAGGACCAAACCAGUAUGCUCCAGUGUAUGGUUGAGCUGCAGCAAAGGCAGCUGGAGCACAGACUGCCACUGCAGCUCCUCUGUAACCAACCGCCCUCCUCACCAAGUUCCAUAGCCUCCACACCCAGACGCCCAAGAACGCGGUGGGGGGUCCUCCGGCCAACCAGCCACUCCACCACAGAGGA